CUCUGCUAUUCUCCCUUGCUUUAGUCAUGUAACUGCAAUGAGAGAAGGAGAGCUGUGAUAGCACAGGUUUAGUCUCAUCUACUGUGGAAGUAGAACAGUCUCAUCUA